UGGCGACCUUCCGCUCGUUGACAUGGUUACGCAUCUCCAUAUGGUGGAUUUGAUGUUGGAAUCUAUCGGCGACGGCGGUGUUGUGAGCUUUGUACGACACGAAGACGCUGACCAAGAUGAUGGAGAGCGCAACUGCCCCAGCAGCAGUGUGGAACCGAUAAGACUUUUGCCAGUCCACAGGGGGCCCACCGGGGAUGUAGCAGCGACCAAGAACGGGAGAGUUCGAGGAAUUCGACAAGCUCUCGGAUGCUGCUGUCGUGUUGUUUGAAAAGACCAUUUUCAAGAGUUAGAAUCCUGUGAACAAAAGGAGGUCAAUAUUUUGAAGUAGUUCACCACUCGUUAAGUAUUUUCUGACCAAUUUGCGCCCACAAAAUGCCAAAAUAUUGAAUGGUUAAAGCUCUCCAAUGUAUUCUUAUUAUAUGAUGGUUAAGAAUGUUUUAUCCAUA